CACACAUAGCUGCAUCACAUCCACACAACACCUAGGAUCACAUGAUGUCUUGAAGUCACAGGACUAAUUAGGAAGUGAUAAGUGUUUGCUGGCUGCAAGUCAGAUUCUCUUUAUGUUGGUGCUGGACACUAUUGUGCGAGUUGGGCUCCCUUUUCAUGCAGGGUAAUUUCUAGAAGGUUGUGUCUACUCUUCACGGAGGACACAGGCUUCUGCAUGGAGUUUUAACAUUUGUGAUCACCUCAUUGUGACCUGAGCUGCUGGGCUGCAUUGCAACGGAACAUUCACCUUUUUGCCCUCAUGUGUCAAUGAGCUGUGGACAGUUGAGCAUAUUGAAAAGUAGGCCUAUAUUUUCUAGCUAUGUUUGAGUGGACUAUGCUAUGUUGUUUAAUGAGGCUGGCAACUAACAUGCUUG